rnacentral:rRNA from 1 species
GACGAACGCUGGCGGCGUGCUUAACACAUGCAAGUCGAACGGAAAGGCCCUGCUUUUGUGGGGUGCUCGAGUGGCGAACGGGUGAGUAACACGUGAGUAACCUGCCCUUGACUUUGGGAUAACUUCAGGAAACUGGGGCUAAUACCGGAUAGGAGCUCCUGCUGCAUGGUGGGGGUUGGAAAGUUUCGGCGGUUGGGGAUGGACUCGCGGCUUAUCAGCUUGUUGGUGGGGUAGUGGCUUACCAAGGCUUUGACGGGUAGCCGGCCUGAGAGGGUGACCGGCCACAUUGGGACUGAGAUACGGCCCAGACUCCUACGGGAGGCAGCAGUGGGGAAUAUUGCACAAUGGGCGGAAGCCUGAUGCAGCAACGCCGCGUGCGGGAUGACGGCCUUCGGGUUGUAAACCGCUUUCGCCUGUGACGAAGCGUGAGUGACGGUAAUGGGUAAAGAAGCACCGGCUAACUACGUGCCAGCAGCCGCGGUGAUACGUAGGGUGCGAGCGUUGUCCGGAUUUAUUGGGCGUAAAGGGCUCGUAGGUGGUUGAUCGCGUCGGAAGUGUAAUCUUGGGGCUUAACCCUGAGCGUGCUUUCGAUACGGGUUGACUUGAGGAAGGUAGGGGAGAGUGGAAUUCCUGGUGGAGCGGUGGAAUGCGCAGAUAUCAGGAGGAACACCAGUGGCGAAGGCGGUUCUCUGGGCCUUUCCUGACGCUGAGGAGCGAAAGCGUGGGGAGCGAACAGGCUUAGAUACCCUGGUAGUCCACGCUGUAAACGGUGGGUACUAGGUGUGGGGUCCAUUCCACGGGUUCCGUGCCGUAGCUAACGCUUUAAGUACCCCGCCUGGGGAGUACGGCCGCAAGGCUAAAACUCAAAGGAAUUGACGGGGCCCCGCACAAGCGGCGGAGCAUGCGGAUUAAUUCGAUGCAACGCGUAGAACCUUACCUGGGUUUGACAUGGAUCGGGAGUGCUCAGAGAUGGGUGUGCCUCUUUUGGGGUCGGUUCACAGGUGGUGCAUGCCUGUCGUCAGCUCGUGUCGUGAGAUGUUGGGUUAAGUCCCGCAACGAGCGCAACCCUUGUUCACUGUUGCCAGCACGUUAUGGUGGGGACUCAGUGGAGACCGCCGGGGUCAACUCGGAGGAAGGUGGGGAUGACGUCAAGUCCUCAUGCCCCUUAUGUCCAGGGCUUCACGCAUGCUACAAUGGCUGGUACAGAGAGUGGCGAGCCUGUGAGGGUGAGCGAAUCUCGGAAAGCCGGUCUCAGUUCGGAUUGGGGUCUGCAACUCGACCUCAUGAAGUCGGAGUCGCUAGUAAUCGCAAAUCAGCAACGCUGCGGUGAAUACGUUCCCGGG